UACGUAGGGGGCUAGCGUUGUCCGGAAUCAUUGGGCGUAAAGAGCGUGUAGGCGGUCCGGUAAGUCCGCUGUGAAAGUCGGGGGCUCAACCCUCGAAUGCCGGUGGAUACUGUCGGGCUAGAGUGCGGAAGAGGCGAGUGGAAUUCCUGGUGUAGCGGUGAAAUGCGCAGAUAUCAGGAGGAACACCUAUUGCGAAGGCAGCUCGCUGGGAAGUUACUGACGCUGAGACGCGAAAGCGUGGGGAGCAAACAGG
rnacentral:rRNA from 1 species